UCGCGGGAUAGAGCAGUGGUUAGCUCGUCGGGCUCAUAACCCGGAGGUCAUAGGUUCAAAUCCUGUUCCCGCAACCCA
rnacentral:tRNA from 1 species